CCCUUCCUAGCCGAGUGGUGCGAGCGUCGCGCCUCCACCACGGGGAUCUUGGGUUCGAUUCCAGGGGAAGCCA
rnacentral:tRNA from 1 species